rnacentral:rRNA from 1 species
AUACAUGCAAGUCGAGGGAGCUUGCCUAGAUGAUUUUAGUGCUUGCACUAAAUGAAACUAGAUACAAGCGAGCGGCGGACGGGUGAGUAACACGUGGGUAACCUGCCCAAGAGACUGGGAUAACACCUGGAAACAGAUGCUAAUACCGGAUAACAACACUAGACGCAUGUCUAGAGUUUGAAAGAUGGUUCUGCUAUCACUCUUGGAUGGACCUGCGGUGCAUUAGCUAGUUGGUAAGGUAAUGGCUUACCAAGGCGAUGAUGCAUAGCCGAGUUGAGAGACUGAUCGGCCACAUUGGGACUGAGACACGGCCCAAACUCCUACGGGAGGCAGCAGUAGGGAAUCUUCCACAAUGGACGAAAGUCUGAUGGAGCAACGCCGCGUGAGUGAAGAAGGGUUUCGGCUCGUAAAGCUCUGUUGGUAGUGAAGAAAGAUAGAGGUAGUAACUGGCCUUUAUUUGACGGUAAUUACUUAGAAAGUCACGGCUAACUACGUGCCAGCAGCCGCGGUAAUACGUAGGUGGCAAGCGUUGUCCGGAUUUAUUGGGCGUAAAGCGAGUGCAGGCGGUUCAAUAAGUCUGAUGUGAAAGCCUUCGGCUCAACCGGAGAAUUGCAUCAGAAACUGUUGAACUUGAGUGCAGAAGAGGAGAGUGGAACUCCAUGUGUAGCGGUGGAAUGCGUAGAUAUAUGGAAGAACACCAGUGGCGAAGGCGGCUCUCU